rnacentral:rRNA from 1 species
GAUGAACGCUGGCGGCGUGCUUAAUACAUGCAAGUCGAACGGAAGUUUUGUAUUCGUACGAAGCUUUAGUGGCGAACGGGUGAGUAACGCGUUGGUGACCUGCCCCGAAGAGAGGGACAACAGUUCGAAAGGACUGCUAAUACCUCAUGUGGUCGUAGGAGUUAGAGGUCUUACGUCUAAAGGAGUAAUCCGCUUCGGGAGGGGCCUGCGUCCCAUCAGCUUGUUGGUAGGGUAACGGCCUACCAAGGCUACGACGGGUAGGGGACCUGAGAGGGUGACCCCCCACACUGGCACUGAAACACGGGCCAGACACCUACGGGUGGCAG